rnacentral:lncRNA from 1 species
UCUUAGCGGCAAGGUCGCAUGACUGUCUCAUAGUAAACUUGGAGUCAAUCUCAGUCCUUUUCUGCAGAGCUGCUUUCCAGUUUGCUGGCCUCCAGCAUGUGCCAGUGCCUGGGGCUGUUCCUCCACAGGAGGAAUGCAUUUCUUUUUCAACCUCAUGAGGCUCCUGUCAGCCCUCAUCCAGUCAGUCCAGAUCCCUCUGGAAGGCUGUACAAGCCUCUAGUGAGUUAGCCACUCCCCUCAGUUCCAUGUCAUUUGCAAAUUUACUGAGGAUGUACUCUACCCCAUCAUUCAGAUAGUUAAGGAAGAUGUUGAACAGGACUGACCCAUGGGGGUACUCUGCUUGUUACUGGCCUCCAGCAAAACUUUGUGUCACUGACCACCACCCUCUGGGCCCAGAUAUUCAGCCAGUUUUUGUUCCACUGUACUGUUUGCUCAUCCAGCCCAUACUUCAAUGGUUUCUCUAUGAAAAAUUUAUGGGACACAGUGUCAAAGGCCUUCCAGAAGUCUAGGAAGACAAUUACUCGUCAUUGUUGAUGGCGAUUUUGUUAUACAUAGGUCACUCUGAAAUUAGCCAUGGGCAAGCACCUCAUACCAUG